rnacentral:rRNA from 1 species
GAUGAACGCUGGCGGCGUGCCUAAUACAUGCAAGUCGAGCGAACAGACGAGGAGCUUGCUCCUCUGACGUUAGCGGCGGACGGGUGAGUAACACGUGGAUAACCUACCUAUAAGACUGGGAUAGCUUCGGGAAACCGGAGCUAAUACCGGAUAAUAUAUUGAACCGCAUGGUUCAAUAGUGAAAGACGGUUUUGCUGUCACUUAUAGAUGGAUCCGCGCCGCAUUAGCUAGUUGGUAAGGUAACGGCUUACCAAGGCGACGAUGCGUAGCCGACCUGAGAGGGUGAUCGGCCACACUGGAACUGAGACACGGUCCAGACUCCUACGGGAGGCAGCAGUAGGGAAUCUUCCGCAAUGGGCGAAAGCCUGACGGAGCAACGCCGCGUGAGUGAUGAAGGUCUUCGGAUCGUAAAACUCUGUUAUUGGGGAAGAACAAAUGUGUAAGUAACUAUGCACGUCUUGACGGUACCUAAUCAGAAAGCCACGGCUAACUACGUG